CGCUUAACAAUUGAAUUCUACAUUACAAAGAAACUCAAUUGAAUAUUUCCUAGUAUAGACAUAUUAAUAAAGCCACAAAACUGGCGGUUGGUCGAGGCAAAAAUAUACUAUAUGAAUUCUUUUCUUGUACUUUAGCCAGCGAAGCGUAGCCAUACACUGUGUGUAGACUGUAGUUGAAAUUAAACGCUAUUGUUUUAUGUUAUUCAUAUUAGCCAUUCGCGUCGCUAUACAAUUUAAUACCAGGCUUAAUUCUUAUGAGUUAUGGCUUAGAUGUACAAAUGAAUAUACUAAACUAUUAUUGACCGCAAGCAUGAGCAGAUAACCGAACCAAUAUAUAUCAGCUAGACUCCGAAAUGCGUGUUCAAUACCAUAUAGUACAGCCCAAAACUCAAAAGGAAUGAUGUUAUAUGUGUUCAUUAUACGAA